CAGAAAAAAGGCGGACAUGCCCAGUGCAUAGGAAACCCUACUGUAAACGUUACCUCAGUCAGACGGGACUGGAGACGGGGCUGGGAAGUCCCUUACCGGGAAGAUUUGAGAGAUAUGAUUCACCCUCAUAUCGGAUGAGAUAUCGAUGUGAUGAAAUGUUUGGUGCCCAUUACCUGAUGGAGUAUGGGGACGGUUGGUUAAUUGUUAAAAUUGGUUAUUGGGUUCAUGAGUAGGGGGAAUAC
rnacentral:lncRNA from 1 species